GUGAAUCAUCAAAUUUUUGAACGCAAAUUGCACUCUCUUCGGAGAGUAUGCCUGUUUGAGGGUCAGCCUAUAAAAAAUCGACAUCGUUGCUGUUUCGCGGUGACGUUCGUCGGAAAUUGGGUCAUCUUAAAUCUUUUGGUUUUAAGCGACUUAAAAUUUUCUUUACGAUUCCAUGAACGUUUCUAAGAUUUACUUCUUACGUUUUAUGUAUCUACUUUUAUUAGUAGCUUCGC
rnacentral:misc_RNA from 1 species